rnacentral:rRNA from 1 species
GACGAACGCUGGCGGCGUGCCUAAUACAUGCAAGUCGAGCGCACAGUUUAUACCGUAGCUUGCUACACCAUAGACUGUGAGUUGCGAACGGGUGAGUAACGCGUAGGUAACCUGCCUGGUAGCGGGGGAUAACUAUUGGAAACGAUAGCUAAUACCGCAUAAUAUUGAUUAUUGCAUGAUAAUUGAUUGAAAGAUGCUAUUGCAUCACUACCAGAUGGACCUGCGUUGUAUUAGCUAGUAGGUGAGGUAACGGCUCACCUAGGCGACGAUACAUAGCCGACCUGAGAGGGUGAUCGGCCACACUGGGACUGAGACACGGCCCAGACUCCUACGGGAGGCAGCAGUAGGGAAUCUUCGGCAAUGGACGAAAGUCUGACCGAGCAACGCCGCGGGAGUGAAGAAGGUUUUCGGAUCGUAAAGCUCUGUUGUAAGAGAAGAACGGGUGUGAGAGUGGAAAGUUCACACUGUGACGGUAUCUUACCAGAAAGGGACGGCUAACUACGUG